rnacentral:rRNA from 1 species
UACGGGGGGAGCAAGCGUUGUUCGGAUUUACUGGGCGUAAAGGGCGCGUAGGCGGUCGUGACAAGUCACUUGUGAAAUCUCCGGGCUUAACUCGGAACGGUCAAGUGAUACUGUCGGACUAGAGUACAGAAGGGGCAACUGGAAUUCUCGGUGUAGCGGUGAAAUGCGUAGAUAUCGAGAGGAACACCUGCGGCGAAGGCGGAUCUCUGGGCCAUUACUGACGCUGAGGAGCGAAAGCGUGGGGAGCGAACAGG